rnacentral:lncRNA from 1 species
UUAGGUGAGAAAGUUUCACCUGAGAGGAAGGGAAUAAAGAUUCCAUGGAUCGGAAAAAAAAAUUUAAGCUCUAAUACCAUGAUAGAAUUAGGUAAAGAGAGAGAAUGAAAAGAAACUCUCAUUGUAUUAUAUGAUGAACAGUAAUACAAGAGGCUACUAUAUAUAGCCAUGUAAUCCAAAACAGAAAAGGUGUGAGGCGCAUAACAAGCUAACAGCACACCACUAACAAAGCUGACAGCUCAGCAAAACAGAAUAGAAAAAUA